UGCAACGUUUUAGAAACGCUGCAAAAGACGAAGCCUUUUGCAACGUUUUUAGAACGUUGCA
rnacentral:sRNA from 1 species